UAUGAAUUAGAAUAACCUAUUUUUUAAAAAUUCAAACUAUUUCAGUCAACCUCACAAGUAGACAAAAUUAAUCAGCACAGUGACCUGUGUCAGAGCAGAAGGAAAAUACAUGCUCUCAGUGGUUCAGAGUACUACAAUAAUGAGAAGAUGGUGCACACUACAGCCACUACAUCUUGAUGGUUUCUCUGGCACAAGCUUCUAGCAGGUUAACAAAGUAUCACAGAGGAUGCUUGUCUGUAUUUGGGCUUCUCUCCCCAGUGUGCAGAAGAACAGGGUAAAAUAGAGAGGCUGAGCACCACUGUCAUGUUGUAAUGCCCUCUUUUUCUUUGCUAACUAGGAGUGGAGCAAAUAGGUGCAAGAGGCUAAUCUUGGAAAUAGAGUAAAAGGAAAGAGUGGUCCACAGUUACAAGGAAAAUUAAUAUUUUCAUUGCAUGAAUUUUGAAUUUUUUUUCCCUAAAUUUUCUCCAAAACACAUCACACCUCAAAUACAAAUGAAGACAAACUGCAGAGAGAUUCUAUAGACUUUCAGUCUAAAUCCAGGCACUGACUUCCAAGCAUCAGUUAGCUACCAGACAUCCAGCUGCAUCAGUCUCACCAAACAUGGUUAGAAAAAUAAAGCCUUUAAUAGCUCAGUGUCA
rnacentral:lncRNA from 1 species